UUCCCUCUGAGCCGUUACUAGGCAGCUAAUACAGCUGAUGUCAGAGUUUAGAACUCUUCAGUGAACCCUGGUCAGGUUUUCACACUCAGUGUUCAUCUCCCGAUGUUGCCAUUUGCUUAUCCUGAAGGUAUGGUUGAAUUUUGGUGAAAUCUAGGAGGGGUGGAUGUAACCGAUGUGUUCUAACUGUUAUAUUUCACCAAAAAUCCAUGUUUGUUGAUAUUUUGUUAUUUAUUUUCAUAUAAAUCUGGUUUUGUGUGUAUUUAUUUUGGGGAGCUUUUAUUUUGUUAAUUUUAUUCUGGCGGUGUGACCAGUUGCCUGUUAGUGAUGUCACUUCCUGUAUUCUCCUCAGUAGCGGUACGCUAUGGUGAGGAGAGGUGUGCUAUGUGCGUGUAGGAACCCAGAGCUGCUGUACUGAUUUAAUUGUGUGUUGUACACAGGUAUGCAAAAUAAAACCCCCGUUCAACUGGCAAAGCAGAAGAUGUCUGUCGUCCAUUACUACGCAUACUGAAAUUGAGGGAGUGUCAGGCCAGACCGGCUACA